rnacentral:rRNA from 1 species
AAGCUCGUAGUUGAAUUUCGGGACUAACAGAUUGGUCGCGCCUUUGGUGUGUACUGGUCUAGUUGGUUUCUCCCUUCUGACGAACCACGAUGUCAUUAGUUUGGUGUCGUGGGAAAUCAGGACUGUUACUUUGAAAAAAUUAGAGUGUUUAAAGCAAGCGCUAGCUUGAAUACAUUAGCAUGGAAUAAUGAAAUAGGACGUUUGACCCUAUUUUGUUGGUUUCUAGGAUCGACGUAAUGAUUAAUAGGGAUAGUUGGG